AUCCAGCUGACGAGUCCAAAAUAGAAUGGAACGCUCAUCCUGAAU
rnacentral:hammerhead_ribozyme from 1 species